rnacentral:rRNA from 1 species
GAUGAACGCUGGCGGUAUGCCUAACACAUGCAAGUUGAACGAGGUUUAUCCUAGUAGCGGACGGGUGAGUAAUACGUGAGAAUCUGCCUUUAGGAGGGGAAUAACAGUUGGAAACGACUGCUAAUGCCCCAUAUGCUUACGAGUGAAAUGAUUUUUCGCCUGAAGAUGAGCUCACGCCUGAUUAGUUUGUUGGUGGGGUAAUGGCCUACCAAGACUACGAUCAGUA